rnacentral:Y_RNA from 1 species
GGUUGGUCCGAGUGCAGUGGUGUUUACAACUAAUUGAUCAUAACCAGUUAUAAAUUCCUUUGUUCCUUCUCCACUCCUACAGCUUCACUUGACCAGCCUUUA